UACGAGUGCCCCAAGCGUUAUCCGGAAUUAUUGGGCGUAAAGGGCGCGUAGGCGGUGCGGUAAGUCACCUGUGAAACCCCCGGGCUCAACCCCGGGCCUGCAGUCGAUACGGGCGGACUAGAGUUCGGUAGGGGAGACUGGAAUUCCUGGUGUAGCGGUGAAAUGCGCAGAUAUCGUAAGGAAGACCAGUGGCGAAGGCGGGUCUCUGGACAGUUCCUGACGCUGAGGCACGAAGGUCAGGGGAGCAAACGGG
rnacentral:rRNA from 1 species